GUGGUUAAUACCAGGGAAAGACACGUAGAAGUGGUUAAUACCAGGGAAAGACACGUAGAAGUGGUUAAUACCAGGGAAAGACACGUAGAAGCAUUUAGUACCAGGGAAAGACACGUAGAAGUGGUUAAUACCAGGUAAAGACACGUAGAAGUGGUUAAUACCAGGUAAAGACACGUAGAAGUGGUUAAUACCAGGUAAAGACACGUAGAAGUGGUUAAUACCAGGGAAAGACGCGUAGAAGUGGUUAAUACCAGGGAAAGACACGUAGAAGCGGUUAAUACCAGGUAAAGACACGUAGAAGCGUUUAGUACCAGGGAAAGACACGUAGAAGUGGUUAAUACCAGGUAAAGACACGUAGAAGUGGUUAAUACCAGGUAAAGACACGUAGAAGUGGUUAAUACCAGGGAAAGACACGUAGAAGUGGUUAAUACCAGGUAAAGACACGUAGAAGCGUUUAGUACCAGGGAAAGACACGUAGAAGCGGUUAAUACCAGGGAAAGACACGUAGAAGUGGUUAAUACCAGGGAAAGACACGUAGAAGUGGUUAAUACCAGGGAAAGACACGUAGAAGUGGUUAAUACCAGGGAAAGACACGUAGAAGUGGUUAAUACCAGGGAAAGACACGUAGAAGUGGUUAAUACCAGGGAAAGACACGUAGAAGUGGUUAAUACCAGGUAAAGACACGUAGAAGCGUUUAGUACCAGGGAAAGACACGUAGAAGUGGUUAAUACCAGGUAAAGACACGUAGAAGCGUUUAGUACUAGGGAAAGACACGUAAAAGUGGUUAAUACCAGGGAAAGACACGUAGAAGUGGUUAAUACCAGGGAAAGACACGUAGAAGUGGUUAAUACCAGG